rnacentral:rRNA from 1 species
CGAAAGCCUGACGGAGCAACGCCGCGUGGGGGAGGAAGGCUCUUGGGUUGUAAACCCCUUUUCUCAGGGAAGAAGCUCUGACGGUACCUGAGGAAUCAGCCUCGGCUAACUCCGUGCCAGCAGCCGCGGUAAUACGGAGGAGGCAAGCGUUAUCCGGAAUUAUUGGGCGUAAAGCGUCCGCAGGUGGCUAUUUAAGUCUGCUGUCAAAGACCGGGGCUCAACUCCGGGUCGGCAGUGGAAACUGGAUAGCUAGAGUACGGUAGGGGUAGAGGGAAUUCCCGGUGUAGCGGUGAAAUGCGUAGAGAUCGGGAAGAACACCGGUG